UGAGGUACUGGGGACGUAUUCUGCCCAGAAUCCCCAUAGAGAGAGACAAGCAUGAGGAACUGGGGACAUAUUCUGCCCAGAAUCCCCAUAGAGAGAGACAAGCAUGAGGUACUAGGGACGUAUUCUGCCCGGAAUCCCUAGAGAGAGAAAAGCAUGAGGUAUUGGUGACGUAUUCUGCCCAGAAUCCCUAGAGAGAGACAAGCAUGAGGUACUGGUGACGUAUUCUGCCCGGAAUCCCUAGAGAGAGAUAAGCAUGAGGUAUUGGUGACGUAUUCUGCCCAGAAUCCCUAGAGAGAGACAAGCAUGAGGUAUUGGUGACGUAUUCUGCCCGGAAUCCCUAGAGAGAGACAAGCAUGAGGUAUUGGUGACGUAUUCUGCCCGGAAUCCCUAGAGAGAGACAAGCAUGAGGUACUGGGAAUGUAUUCUGCCCGGAAUUCCUAGAGAGAGACAAGAAUGAGGUACUGGUGACGUAUUCUGCCCGGAAUCCCUAGAGAGAGAAAAGCAUGAGGUAUUGGUGACGUAUUCUGCCCAGAAUCCCCAUAGAGAGACAAGCAUGAGAUACUGGGGAUAUAUUCUGCCCAGAAUCCCUAGAGAGAGACAAGCAUGAGGUACUGGGGAUAUAUUCUGCCCAGAAUCCCUAGAGAGAGACAAGCAUGAGGUACUGGGGAUAUAUUCUGCCCAGAAUCCCUAGAGAGAGACAAGCAUGAGGUACUGGGGAUGUAUUCUGCCCGGAAUUCCUAGAGAGAGACAAGCAUGAGGUACUGGGGAUGUAUUCUGCCCGGAAUCCCUAGAGAGAGACAAGCAUGAGGUACUGGGGAUGUAUUCUGCCCGGAAUUCCUAGAGAGAGACAAGCAUGAGGUAUUGGGGAUGUAUUCUGCCCGGAAUCCCCAUAGAGAGACAAGCAUCAGGUACUGGGAAUGUAUUCUGCCCGGAAUCCCCAUAGAGAGACAAGCAUGAGGUACUGGGGAUGUAUUCUGCCCGGAAUCCCCAUAGAGAGACAAGCAUGAGGUACUGGGGAUGUAUUCUGCCCAGAAUCCCUAGAGAGAGACAAGCAUGAGGUAUUGGGACAUAUUCUGCCCAGAAUCCCUAGAGAGAGACAAGCAUGAGGUAUUGGGGACGUAUUCUGCCCAGAAUCCCCAUAGAGAGUACAAGCAUGAGGUACUGGGGACGUAUUCUGCCCAGAAUCCCCAUAGAGAGACAAGCAUGAGGUAUUGGGGACGUAUUCUGCCCGGAAUCCCCAUAGAGAGACAAGCAUCAGAUAUUGGGGAUGUAUUCUGCCCAGAAUCCCCCUAGAGAGACAAGCAUGAGGUACUGGGGACGUAUUCUGCCCAUAAUCCCCAUAGAGAGACAAGCAUCAGGUACUGGGAAUGUAUUCUGCCCAGAAUCCCCAUAGAGAGACAAGCAUCAGGUAUUGGGGACGUAUUCUGCCCAGAAUCCCUAGAAAGCAACAAGCAUCAGGUACUGGGGACGUAUUCUGCCCAGAAUCCCCAUAGAGAGACAAGCAUCAGGUAUUGGGGACGUAUUCUGCACAGAAUCCCUAGAGAGACAAGCAUGAGGUACUGGGGAUGUAUUCUGCCCAGAAUCCCUAGAGAGAGACAAGCAUCAGGUACUGGGGACGUAUUCUGCCCAGAAUCCCCAUAGAGAGACAAGCAUCAGGUAUUGGGGACGUAUUCUGCCCAGAAUCCCUAGAGAGACAAGCAUGAGGUACUGGGGAUGUGUUCUGCCCAGAAUCCCCAUAGAGAGACAAGCAUCAGGUAUUGGGGACGUAUUCUGCCCAGAUUCCCUAGAGAGAGACAAGCAUGAGGUACUGGGGAUGUAUUCUGCCCAGAAUCCCCAUAGAGAGACAAGCAUGCGGUACUGGGAAUGUAUUCUGCCCAGAAUCCCUAGAGAGACAAGCAUGAGGUACUGGGGAUGUAUUCUGCCCAGAAUCCCCAUAGAGAGACAAGCAUGAGGUACUGGGGGAUGUAUUCUGCCCAGAAUCCCUAGAGAGAGACAAGCAUCAGGUACUGGGGAUGUAUUCUGCCCAGAAUCCCUAGAGAGAGACAAGCAUCAGGUACUGGGAAUGUAUUCUGCCCAGAAUCCCUAGAGAGACAAGCAUCAGGUACUGGGGACGUAUUCUGCCCAGAAUCCCUAGAGAGCAACAAGCAUCAGGUACUGGGGACGUAUUCUGCCCAGAAUCCCCAUAGAGAGACAAGCAUGAGGUACUGGGAAUGUAUUCUGCCCAGAAUCCCUAGAGAGACAAGCAUGAGGUACUGGGGAUGUGUUCUGCCCAGAAUCAGGGAUGUGAAAUCUCGUCGGAAAAGCGGGAAAUCACGUUUUUUAAAGCAGUAGUCCUUGGAAAAAAUCAUUCGGAGAAUCCCUAGAGACAGCUUCAGCAGUCAAGGUCAAGGAAAAACAAACAGCUUCAGACCUGAGUUGCUUCUAACAUAACAGGUCAGUCCGGGGAACAUAUUAACAAAAGACAAGCGACCAGAGACUUCAUUGUAGAUGAUGUUUAUUGUUUAUGCUAUGUUGGAGUAUGUACACCAUGUAAACACAAUGAGAACAACAUGGACCUUCAAGUAAAACAACCUUAGCACUGGUCAACUCCAACUGUCUCUUGUUUCAGUCUGGGCAUGUAGAUUUUGAUUUACGGGAGUUUGGUUUUACGCCACUUUGACCACUGUUUCAGUCAUAUCAUGGCGACUGAACUGUUUGAUUGGCACUUUUAGUAGCUGUUUUGGUAAAGACAGUACAAAGAUAUAAACCAGAUAUUCUCAUAGAUCAUAAUAUUGUUUGUUUGUUUAACGCCUCACUCAGCAGUAUUCCAGCUAUAUGACGGCGGUCUGUAAAUAAUCGAGUCUGGACCAGACAAUCCAGUGAUUGACAUCGGGAGCAUCGAUCCAUGCAAUUGGGAUCGAUGACAUGUAUCAACCAAGUCAGAGAGCCUGACCACCCGAUCCCGUUAAUCACCUCUUAUGAAAAAAAAAAAAAAAUGAAGUUGUAAUCCAUAAAAUAACUUGUCUUCAAUGUCAUGGCGAGUCAUCUAGAUGAAGGAUGAAAGCCUGAGGUGAUGCAGGUCUUGUAGUGAAACCCAUGUUUCUGACAAAUGAUGUUACAGACAGGAAAGAAAGUAUGCAUAAUAAAUGACAGUUAGCUACCAAGCAAGUUCAUCGUCUCUCGUACCAGAAACCAAGAACAUUUUUUUGGCCUUGCUUUUUACUGAAACCAAUCAGAACCCUGAAUUUGAAAUUCCUGAAAUGAUAUUGAGUGUUCUUCUCAAUAGAACUUGAUCUUAUUGGUCCAUAAUGAUAAUGCAUGGAUAUAAAAAUAUAUAGAACUAA